rnacentral:miRNA from 1 species
GCUGUGGGUAUCUGGCAUUGUGGAUCUGCUAUUAAAACAGUAGCUGGUAGUGCAUGGACCUACAAUACCCCCUCUGCAGUCACAGUCAAAUCUGCC